CCUACGGGUGGCAGCAGUGAGGAAUAUUGGUCAAUGGCCGGAAGGCUGAACCAGCCAUGCCGCGUGAAGGUCAGUGCCCUAUGGGCGUUAAACUUCUUUUGUGCGGGAGCAAUAAUGGUCACGUGUGGCCAGACGAGAGUACCGUACGAAUAAGCAUCGGCUAACUCCGUGCCAGCAGCCGCGGUAAUACGGGGGAUGCAAGCGUUAUCCGGAUUUAUUGGGUUUAAAGGGUGCGUAGGCUGUGAGGUAAGUCAGCGGUGAAAUGCCCCCGCUCAACGGGGUGAAGUGCCAUUGAUACUGGCUGGCUGGAAUGCGGAUGCCGUGGGAGGAAUGUGUGGUGUAGCGGUGAAAUGCAGAGAUAUCACACAGAACACCGAUUGCGAAGGCAUCUCACGAAUCCGCGAUUGACGCUGAUGCACGAAAGCGUGGGUAUCAAACAGGAUUAGAUACCCGUGUAGUC
rnacentral:rRNA from 1 species